UCACCAUUAGCAUUAGCGUUGUCUUUGUGUCUGCGUCUUCUUCGACAACAUGUGCUUCCUUCUCCUUGCUUUUCUUUUCUUUCGAUUUCUCUGGAAAACAUUCAAAAGCAAAAUGACCAUAUUUAUGACAAUUAAAUCAUUCUAUAUUCCUUUUAUCUUUCUUCUUUUUUAAACCUUUCUUGCAAUGAUUCUUAUCUUUGGAAUCAGAUGUGCUCAUAUCAGAUUUUUCAUCUGGUUUUUCAUGAUCUGCGCUAUUUCCUUCUUUCUUCCACUUCACUUUUCUUGGUUUUCCUUCCCACUUCUUGAACUUCUUCUUCUCUUCUCCUUUCACGUGUUUAACUUUCAAAGCUUGGUCAUCACGUUUAGACUUCCUUUCACGCUUUCUCAUUACGUAAGCCUCUAAGAACUUUGAAGCUCCUUUAUCUUGAGUUUGCUAACAUCUCUUGAUUCUUCAAUGGCGACAACGAUAUGAUCGAUCAAAAAUCUCUGGCAAUGAUCUCAUAAUCUUUUCAUUGAUCAUAGUAUCCGUAACCUCUUCGCCACAAGCUUUCAUUUGGUUUGCAAUCGUUAUAAUUUGGCUGAAGAAAUCACAGAUUCGUUCACCUUCCUCCAAUUCCAGAUGCUCGUACUGUCUUCUGAGCGCUUGGAGUCUUACUUUCUUAACCUUUUCUCCACCUGAAUAACACCGUACCAAAAUACCCCAUGCUUCCAUAGCUGUGGAAGCAUUCUGAAUUUUUUCAAAGUGAGCGUCAUCCACACAUUGAUGAAUAAGCAUCAGUGCCUUAUCAUCUUUCUGCUUGAAUUCUUUUUCUUGUCCUUAUUUGCUAGUAACAUCCGCAUCUACCCUCUCGAUAACACCACUAAUGCCUUGCACACGGAACACCACCCUCAUCUGGGUGCUCCAACGAUUCCAAUUUUUAUCUGUGAGAAUUGGAAACUGUGACGACGAAAGAUCAGCAGCCAUUGAAACAUACCAAGAACAACCUUCUUGAGAAGCGACAAAGACACCAACCACCACGGCAGAUACACCCGAGAGAAAAACGAAGAACACACACGCCCUAGGUAUUGGAACCUUGGCUCUGGAUACCACUAAAGGAACACACGAGAGAAAGCCUCAGAGAACUCACAGAGAGAAAUUCAAAAAUNAUGUAUUGCAGAGAAUGAAAAGUUACAAGAGUGAUACGUCUGUAAGGCAUAUAUACAUGCAGAGACAGUAUACACCAAAACAGAAAAAACUGAAAAACUGAAAAACCUAACGUAACAGAACAACUAUUUGAAUUACACCAGCUAAUAUAAGUCAAAGAAAAACAAUAUUUCUAAUCUCAUUUGAAAAAGUAAAU
rnacentral:lncRNA from 1 species